AUCUAUCUAUCUAUUUAAUCAUGACCUCAAAUCAGGUAGGACUACCCGCUGAACUUAAGCAUAUCAAUAAGCGGAGGGAAAAGAACUAACAAGGAUUCCCCCUAGUAACUGCGAGUGAAGCGGGAAAAGCUCAAAUUUUAAAUCUGGUAGUCGUUUAGGCUAUCCGAAUUGUAAUCUAGAGAAGUGUAUUCCGUGUUGGCCUGUGUACAAGUCUCCUGGAAGGGAGCAUCAUAGAGGGUGAUAAUCCCGUCUUUGACACAGACUACCAAUGCUUAAUGUGUUACACUCUCAACGAGUCGAGUUGUUUGGGAAUGCAGCUCAAAAUGGGUGGUAAAUUCCAUCUAAAGCUAAAUACAGGCGAGAGACCGAUAGCGUACAAGUACCGUGAGGGAAAGACGAAAAGAACUUUGGAAAGAGAGUUAAACAGUACGUGAAAUUGCUAAAAGGGAAACGCUAGAUGUCCAGUCGCAUCUAUUAGGGAUCAACCUAGCUUUUCAAGCUUGGUGUAUUUCCUAGUAGAUGGGUCAGCAUCAGUUUUUGAUCUCUGUAAAAAGUUGAAUUGGAAUGUAGCAAUUUAUCCAAAUUGUGUUAUAGACUUUUCAUCCAAUAUACAGUGAUUAGGACUGAGGAUAAUUCAACUGCUGCAUACCUGUUUUUAGGAUUUGUGCAAAGGAUGCUGGCAUAAUGGCACUUAGCGACCCGUCU
rnacentral:rRNA from 1 species